rnacentral:tRNA from 1 species
UGUGGUACAGCUCAGGGGCAGAGCACCUGCCUGGCAUGCAAAGGCCCUGGGUUUGAUCCCCAGCACCAUAG